AGCCCAAACCGGUAGCGUUUCGGCGAUACCGGGGUCAUGGGACCACGCCAUUCGAAACAAGAUGAAGUGCAAUUACCUGGAAAGGUAAGCCGCGGAGGGUGAUAGCCCCGUGCACGUCAAUUCUUGUGGAGAUAGUGGAAUCCCGAGUAGGGCGGGACACGAGAAAUCCUGCCUGAAUUCGCCAGGACCUCCUGGCAAGGCUAAAUACUCCCGAGAGACCGAUAGUGAACCAGUACCGCGAGGGAAAGGUGAAAAGUACCCCGAGCAGGGGGGUGAAAUAGACCCUGAACCCGCGCGCCUACAAGCGGUCGGAGCUGCCUUGUGCAGUGACGGCGUGCCUUUUGCAUAAUGAGCCUACGAGUUAGUCGUCACCAGCGAGGUUAAGGGCUUCAGGCCCGUAAGCCGAAGUGAAAGCGAGCCUUAACAGGGCGUCAAGUUGGUGGCGCUAGACGCGAAACCUUGUGAUCUACCCACGAGCAGGUUGAAGUCGCGGUAACACGUGAUGGAGGACCGAACCGGUAAACGUUGAAAAGUUUUCGGAUGACUCGCGGGUAGGGGUGAAAGGCCAAUCAAACUGGGAAAUAGCUCGUACUCUCCGAAAUGCAUUUCGGUGCAGCCUGUGAUGUUCUGUUCCAGAGGUAGAGCUACUGGUUGGACGCGAGGGCUUCACCGCCUAUCAAAUCCGGAUAAACUCCGAAUGCUGGAACACGAAAUCAUGGAGUGAGCCCGCGGGUGCUAAGGUCCGCGGACGAGAGGGAAAGAACCCGGACCACCGGCUAAGGUCCCGGAUGGACAGUUAAGUUGAUCAAACGAGGUGGGAUCGCUGAGACAGCUAGGAUGUUGGCUUGGAAGCAGCCAUUCAUUUAAAGAGUGCGUAACAGCUCACUAGUCGAGCGAUCCCGCGUGGAUAAUACACGGGCAUUAAACUGUCAACCGAAGCCGUGGGGUCAGCGAAAAGCUGACCGGUAGGAGAGCAUUCCUGCCAGCGUUGAAGGUCACCCGCGAGAGUGACUGGAGCGGCAUGAAAAGCAAAUGUAGGCAUAAGUAACGAUAAUGGGGGCGAGAACCCCCCACGCCGCAAGACCAAGGCUUCCCCGGCAAUGUCAAUCAGCCGGGGGUCAGCCGGCCUCUAAGGCUAACCCGAAGGGGGAUGCCGACGAGAAACGGGUUAACAUUCCCGUGCUUCUCGUCACCGUGACGCGGUGACGGGGUGAUGAAUGGACCGCGCGCUGACGGAAUAGCGCGUUGAAGGCCGUACCCUUCGAGGGUGGUAGUCAAGCACGCCACCCGAGGCGAUAGCCGAUAGUACCACGAGACUCCGGUCGAGUGGAUAGCGUCCAGGCAAUUUACCCCCGAGAAAACCCGCUAAACUUCAAGUGACGAGGAACCGUACUGUAAACGGACACACGUGGUCGGGUAGAACAUACCAAGGCGCUCGAGUGAUUCAUGGUCAAGGAACUAGGCAAAAUAGUCCUGUAACUUCGGGAAAAAGGACGCUCUAGUGAUAGAGCCGCAGAGUAAUGGCCCAGGCGACUGUUUACCAAAAACACAUGGCUAUGCCAAAUCGAAAGAUGACGUAUAUGGCCUGACACCUGCCCGGUGCCGGAAGGUUAAGAGGAGAGCUCAUCGGAAACGAGAAGGUUUGAAUUGAAGCCCCGGUAAACGGCGGCCGUAACUAUAACGGUCCUAAGGUAGCGAAAUUCCUUGUCGGGUAAGUUCCGACCUGCACGAAUGGUGUAACGAUCUGGGCACUGUCUCGACCAUGAGCUCGGUGAAAUUGUAGUUCCGGUGAAGAUGCCGGGUACCCGCGACGGGACGGAAAGACCCCGUGAACCUUUACUGCAGCUUCGCGUUGUUCCCGGGCACGGGACGUGUAGGAUAGGUCGGAGGCUACGAUUCGGUUUCGCCAGGAAUCGAGGAGCCAUCGUUGAAAUACGACCCUUCUCUUGUCUGGGAUCUAACCCUAGGUACAGGGGACACCGCGUGGUGGGUAGUUUGACUGGGGUGGUCGCCUCCAAAAGCGUAACGGAGGCUUCCAAAGGUACCCUCGGGUUGGUUGGUAAUCAACCUCAGAGUGCAAUGGCACAAGGGUGCUUGACCGGGAGACCAACGAGUCGAUCGGGUGCGAAAGCAGGGCAUAGUGAUCCGGUGAUCCCGCGUGGAAGGGUCAUCGCUCAAAGGAUAAAAGGUACUCCGG
rnacentral:rRNA from 1 species